UCAUCUAAAUUCUACCCCAGGGAUUUUGCCUGUAGAGUGCCCUGGCAUUACCUGAGGGUACAGAAAAAGUGUACUUCCCUUUUUCUAGGCCCAAGUGGAAAUAGGAAGACUAUUUCCACUUGGGCCUAGAAGGUGAGCUAACAGU